rnacentral:rRNA from 1 species
AUACGGAGGGUCCAAGCGUUAUCCGGAAUCAUUGGGUUUAAAGGGUCCGUAGGCGGACAAUUAAGUCAGAGGUGAAAGCCCACAGCUCAACUGUGGAACUGCCUUUGAUACUGGUUGUCUUGAAUUAUAGUGAAGUAGAUAGAAUAUGUAGUGUAGCGGUGAAAUGCAUAGAUAUUACAUAGAAUACCGAUUGCGAAGGCAGUCUACUAACUAUAUAUUGACGCUGAUGGACGAAAGCGUGGGGAGCGAACAGGAUUAGAAACCCUAGUAGUCC